GAUGAACGCUAGCGGGAGGCCUAACACAUGCAAGCCGAGCGGUAGAAAGUAGCUUGCUACUUUUGAGAGCGGCGUACGGGUGCGGAACACGUGUGCAACCUGCCUUUAUCUGGGGAAUAGCCUUUCGAAAGGAAGAUUAAUGCCCCAUAACAUAUUGAUUGGCAUCAAUUAAUAUUGAAAGCUCCGGCGGAUAGAGAUGGGCACGCGCAAGAUUAGCUAGUUGGUGAGGUAACGGCUCACCAAGGCGAUGAUCUUUAGGGGGCCUGAGAGGGUGAUCCCCCACACUGGUACUGAGACACGGACCAGACUCCUACGGGAGGCAGCAGUGAGGAAUAUUGAACAAUGGGUGCAAGCCUGAUCCAGCCAUCCCGCGUGAAGGAUGACGGCCCUAUGGGUUGUAAACUUCUUUUAUACAGGGAUAAACCUACUUACGUGUAAGUAGCUGAAGGUACUGUAUGAAUAAGCACCGGCUAACUCCGUG
rnacentral:rRNA from 1 species